rnacentral:rRNA from 1 species
CGCCCCGCGCCCGUCCCGCCUGCCCCCGCCCUCCUACGGGAGGCAGCAGUGGGGAAUUUUGGACAAUGGGCAGCAAGCCUGAUCCAGCCAUGCCGCGUGCAGGAUGAAGGCCUUCGGGUUGUAAACUGCUUUUGUACGGAACGAAGCGGCCUUUUCUAUUAAAGAGGGCUAACGCGGACCGUAAUUAASCACCGGCUAAC